AGGGUGUGAUAAUUGUGGUCCGUUAGCCCUUUGGACUAAUCUUUUCCUUGUGACUUUGGUUUUCUUCAUUUUCCCUUGCUCCAGACAGGGUGGGACCAGUAGAGUAUCUUAGAUGGCUGCUCACAAGCUUUUAAGACUCCAGAUGCUACUCACUAAGACUUCUGGGAGACUGGCAUCUCUUCUAUGAGUGUUACAAAAACAAAAUAUAGAAAUAAUUUAAAUAUACAUUACUCCCCGUGAGUAGCUACGUCAUCGAUCGAACUUAGAUUAAAUAAACAAGAGAGAAGCAAGCUCAUUUUUCCAUUAAAAAUUUCAAUGACCUGGAAGCUACAUCUUGGGAUGUUGGAGCCACUAGAUGCAAGUAGACUGGGUUCCUAAGUCACUGCAUGGAGGGAGCUGCCCUGGCGAGCCACCAGACCUGCAGGGGACUUUGCCCAAUUCACCAGAGAAAGUAUAAAGAUUAAGAAAGGAUGAACUAAUCCUGGAUUAUUCAGGUGAGUCCAAUGUAAUCACAAGAAUCCUUAAAAGUGGAAGAAAGAAUCAGAAGAGAGAACCAGAGAGAUGGAAGAGUGAUAUUGAUGGCUUUGAAGAUUGAGGAAGGGGUCAUGAGCCAAGGAAUAUGGAUGGUCUCUAGAAGUGAAGUUCCUGUCACGCUUGGCUGAUAACCAAAAGGUUGGAGACUUGAGUCCACCCAGGCGUGCCUUGGAAGAAAGGUGGGGUGAUCUACUUCCAAAAAAUCAACUGUUGAAA